rnacentral:lncRNA from 1 species
UUAUAUUUAAAAUUUUGACAUCAUUUUAAAAUUUUGAAGUAAAGUUUUAGUAUUUAAUUUUCAGUUUGAAUUUAAACUAACAUAUUAUAAAGAUAAAAUCGACAUAUUAAUUUGAUUAUGUUUCUGAUAUCUAUCUAAACCAAACACCAAUAAUAAAAAUUGUUCAUUCCAAUUCCGAUUCAAGUGACGAACCAAACAGAAUGAAGUAAUAAAUCAUUCCGAUUCUGUUUCCAGCUUAUUCUUAUUCCGAUUCUUUUACCGAUUCUGACUUAAUUCGAACCAAACACAUCUAUAACUAUUUUUAUUUUUAAUUUUUUUUAAGAAAAUUGUAUAUGCGCAUACCCGUGGGUACCUGUGAGUUGAUCAAAAUACCCAUAAUUUAAUGGAUACCUAUCCAUUUUAUCCAUAAUUUUUUUAAU